ANNCGCNAGCUACACAUGCAGUCGGGCGGUAACAGGAAAGCGCUUGCGCUUUUGCUGACGAGCGGCGGACGGGUGAGUAAUGUCUGGGGAUCUGCCCGNGGGCGGGGGAUAACCACUGGAAACGGUGGCUAAUACCGCAUAAUGUCCCCAAACCAAAGUGGGGGACCAUGAAACGCCCCCACGCCGGUAGGAAAUGAACCCAGAUGGGAUUACCUGGGAGGGAGGGUAAUGGCCUACCUAUUCGGCGACAAUUUCCCCAGCUGGUCUCGAGAGGAUGGACCAGCCACACGGUUGGACUGAGACACCCGCCCCAGACUUCCUACGGGAGGCAGCAGUGGGGAUAUAUUGCACAAUCGGCCCCAAGCCUUGAGGCAACCAUGCCGCAUGGUAUGAAGAAGGCCUUCGGGAUUGUAAAAGUACUUUCAGCGGGGAGGAAGGNUAUGAACCUGAACAGAGUUGGAUUUUGACGUUACCCGCAGAAGAAGCACCGGCUUAACUCCGUGCCAGCAGCCGCGGUAAUACGGAGGGUGCUAGCGUUAAUCGGAAUGACUGGGCGUAAAGCGCACGCAGGCGGUCAAUUAAGUCAGAUGUGAAAUCCCCGGGCUCAACCGGGGAACGGCAUCUAAGACUGGUUGACCGGAGUCUCGUAGAGGGGGGUAGAAUUCCAUGUGUAGCGGUGAAAUGCGUAGAGAUGUGGAGGAAUACCGGUGGCGAAGGCGGCCCCCUGGACGAAGACUGACGCUCAGGUGCGAAAAGCGUGGGGAGCAAACAGGAUUAGAUACCCUGGUAGUUCCACGCUGUAAACGAUGUCGAAUUUGGAGGUUGCGGCCCUGAGCUGUNGGCUUCCGAAGCUAACGCGUUAAAUCGACCGCCUGGGGGAGUACGGCCGCAAGGAUUAANAACUCAAAUGAAUUGGACGGNGAGCNCCGCACAAGCCGGUGGAGCAUGUCGCUUUAAUUCGAUGCAACGCGAAGAACCUUACCUACUCUUGGACAUCCUCGNNAGAAUUUGCUGGAGACACCGAAGCUANGCCUUACUGGGAACUGAGAGACAGGUGCUGCAUGGCUGUCGUCAGCUCGUGUUGUGAAAUGUUGGGUUAAGUCCCGCAACGAGCGCAACCCUUAUCCUUUGUUGCCAGCACGUCGAGGUGGGAACUCAAAGGAGACUGCCGGUGAUAAACCGGAGGAAGGUGGGGAUGACGUCAAGUCAUCAUGGCCCUUACGAGUAGGGCUACACACGUGCUACAAUGGCGGAUACAAAGUGAAGCGACCUCGCGAGAGCAAGCGGAACACACAAAGUCUGUCGUAGUCCGGAUUGGAGUCUGCAACUCGACUCCAUGAAGUCGGAAUCGCUAGUAAUCGUAGAUCAGCAUGCUACGGUGAAUACGUUCCCGGGCCUUGUACACACCGCCCGUCACACCAUGGGAGUGGGUUGCAAAAGAAAUGCGCGAGGACGUCUAGCAUCCUUCUAGCUACAGAUGCAGAGACAGCUUGAGCUUAGGGACAA
rnacentral:rRNA from 1 species